rnacentral:lncRNA from 1 species
AACGGCUGGCUCGCGUUAGUCAACCGCCGCUUCGCGCGACAGUCAGAAGAGAGGCUGUGCUGGCGGGGACCCGGAGGGGUUGGGGUGUUUUGGGGACUCGAUUUCCCACAAAUAGGUAUUUCUAGCCUAUUUGUUAAAUACAAGUAGGUGGCCUGCUUGUAAAUUGCUUUACAAGUUUCAGAGGUUUCCCUAUCAAAUGUCUCAUCGGAUAGUGGGGUAAGAAGAGGAGCCCUAUUAUAAUGACUUGCCCAACUCCCCCCGUAUUCUUGGAGUUAAAAGAAAAAAAAAUCCUUGGGCAGAGACGUGCACAAACAUAAAGUUGCGUUUACAGACAUCAGUCAUGUGGGCUAGAAACGCAGUUUUGCAUGAAGAUAGGGGAAGCCAUGUUCAUACUAGCUCUGCAUCCCUGUAGAAUUUGUCUUCUCACCCCCCACAACAGUUCCUGGUGUGCUUUUUUCCUCCUCUAAGUACCUUCAGGAGAAAGUACUUGGUCUUGUAGCUUAGUGAAGAGUGGCGAUGAAGAAAGAUCUUUCAGCCCAUUGCCAGAACUUAACUGCCCCGGUUAGUAAUGGCUUAAGAGUUGCUUCUGCCGACAUGUACUAAGUGCAUGUCGACCUCUGCAAGUGGCGGUGCGUAUGCGUGCCACUGAACAUUAAUCUUGAAAGCAGAAUCAACCAUGCAGCAAGCCCUUAUGUUGUCCAUUUUCAGGGGAGGAAAUUUCAACCUGAAAGACUUCAUAGAGACACGGCAAAGGAGUUGAGCCCCAUAAGAGUCCGUAGGAACAACAAAAGGCUCAGACGCCAGGACCCAUGGCUAAAAUGUAUGGGCUGGGGAUGCGGGCGGGAGCGGGGGGAAGGGAACUAAAGCUAGAGAGGACCUUGUAGAACCGUGUUGUCAAGAAUCUAUUUCAUGCUGAGGAAUUUGAGCUUUCUCUUCCAGGCAGUGAGGAGCCACUCAAAGGUUUUGUCUAUGUUUUUAAUUGGACCUAGGUGUAGAACUGGAUUUAAUUAUAAUCCAAUUCAUUAACCCAUGCCUGGCCCGCUGUGAUAGUUUCCUGUUGAUGCUGUAACAAAUUACUGCAAAUUUAGAUACUUAAAACAACACGAAUUUAUUUUCUUACAAUUCUGGAAGUCAGAAGUCCAAAAUCAGUUACACUGGGCUAAAAUCAAGGUGUCGGCAGGGCUGGUUCCUUGCCUUUUCCAGCUUCUAGAGGCUGCCUGCAUUCCUUGGCUCUUGGCCCCAUCCUCCAUCUUCAAGAAAAGAAGCAUAGUAUCUUCUUUCUUCUCUGCCUCUGUACGUACAUCGUGAUUCUCCUGCCACCCCUUUUCAUUUACGAGAACCUUUUGUGAUUACUUUGGGCGAAGAUUAUCUCAAGAUUCUUAAUCACAUCUGCAAAGUCCCUUUUAGCAUAACAUUCCCAAAUUCUGGGAAUUAGGACAUAGAAAUCUUUGGUGGACCAUUAUUCAGUUUACCGCACCCACCUUUAUUACUUUAGUUUUGAUUAUAGCCACAAACCCACCACACUAAAAAGUUAUAAUGACACGAGUUUAUAUCUGUAUCUAUGCUAUACCUCCUACACACAAUAACACACACCCCUGCCUUCGCUUGGGGUAACCAUCUUUCUGAAUCCUGUCUUUACUAUUUAUUGCUUUCCUUCUACAAGGUUUUAUUCCACAUGUACAUAGUCCUAAAAAUCAUAUGUAUAUACAUGUAUAUUUGAGUUUUUUUUUAACUUAGUAAAAAGAAUAUGCCCACUACAAACUAGAAUGGUUAAAAUGGGCAUGUUUACUGGCAGUGAAAUUAUUAAGGUUAAAAUCCAAAACACUAACACCACCAAGUGCUGGUGAGUAUGAAAAGCAACAGGAACUAUCAUUCUUUGCUGGUAGGACUGCAAAAUGUUAUAGCCCCUUUGGAGGACAGCUUGUCAGUUCCUUACAAAACUAAACAUAAUGCCUAGGUACUUACCCAAAUGAGCUGAAAACAUGUUUACAUAAAAACCUGCACACAAAUGUUUACAGCAGCUUUGUUCAUAAUCAUCCCAAAUUGGAAGCAACUAAGAUGUCCUUGAUAUAAGUGAAUGGAUAAACUGUCGUACAAGGUGGUACAUCCAUGCAAAGAAAUAUUGUUCAGUGAUUUUUUUAAAAAGAGCUAUUGAUAUGGUUUGGCUCUGUAUCCCCACCCAAUCUGAUCUUGAAUUGUACUCCCAUAAUUCCCACGUGUUGUGGGAGGGACCUGGUGGGAGAUAAUUUGAAUCCUGGGGGCAGUUUCCCCCAGACUGUUCUUGUGGUAGUGAAUAAGUCUCACGAGAUCUGAUGGUUUUAUCAGGGGUUUCCGCUUUUGCAUCAUCCUCAUUUUCUCUUGCUGCCACCAUGAUUCUGAGGCCUUCCCAGCCAUGUGGAACUCUAAGUCCAAUUAAACCUCUUUUUCUUCCCAGUCUGGGGUAUGUCUUUAUCAGCAGUGUGAAAACAGACUAAUACAGCUCUCAAGCUACAAAAAGACAUGGAGGAAUGUUAAAUGUACAGCACCAAGAGAAGCCCAGUGGAAAAGGCUGUAAACGCUACAACUUUAACUAUAUGACACUCUGGAAAGGGCAAAACUCAGUGGUUCCCUGGGCAUCAGGGAAGGAGAGAGGGAUGAAUAGGUGGAACACAGGUCAUUUUUACUGGUAGUGAAAUUAUUCAGUAUGAUACUCUCAUAGUGGAUACAUGACCUUAUGCAUUUGUCAAAACCCAUAGAACUGUGCCACACAAAGUGAGUCCUAAUGUAAACUAUGGACUUCAGUUAAUCAUAAUGUAUCAAUAGUUGUUCCUCAGUUGUACAUUUGUUGGAAUUGAUGAACCAAUAUUGAUACAUUGUGAUUAACUGAAGUUUAUAUAUCAAUUAUGAAUUGAUAUACUUGUUAACACUAAUAUAAAACAGUAAUAACAGGGGAAACUAUGUUUGUAAUGGGAGAGAGGGCACAUGGGAACUCUGUACUUCAUGCACAAUUUUUCUAUAAACCUAAUACUGCUCUCAAAAGUCUAUUACAAAGGAAAAAAUUAUGUCCUUGUAAUCUUUUGAGACUGCUUUUCACUUAAUUAACACACAUAAGAUUCAGCCAUAUUUUAUGGCUAUCAUUCAUUCAGACUAUUAUAUGAUAUUCCAGUGUAUAAAUAUACUACAUUUGUCUGAUUUCUCAUUAAUGGAUAUUUGGGUUGCUUCCAGGUUUUUAUACUGUGAAUAAUGCUGCUAUGAACAUUCUUUUUUUUUUUUUUAACCUUUCUUUAUUUUUAUUUUUUUUUUUGUUUUUGAGAUGGAGUCUUGCUCUGUCAUCCAUCUAGAGUGCAGUGGUGCAAUCUCGGCUCACUGCAACCUCCGCCUCCCGCAUUCAAGCGAUUCUCCUGCCUCAGCCUCCUGAGUAGCUGAGACUACAGGUGCCCGCCACCACUCCUGGCUAAUUUUUGUAUUUUUAGUAAAG